AACGGAGAGGGCAAGCGUUAUUCACCUUGACUGGGCGUAAAGAGUAUGUAGAUGGUUUCUUUUUUAUUAAAUAAGUAAUCUAAGCACAACUUUUGAAGUUAUUUUUUAUAAAUUGAAACUUGAGGUAAUUUGAAGUAAGUUACAUUUUUAAAGUAGAGGUGAAAUUCACAUAUAUUAAAAAGAUAUCCAUUUAGCGAAAGCUACUUACUAAUUUUAUCCUGACAUUGAGAUACGAAGGCAUGGGGAUCAAACAGG
rnacentral:rRNA from 1 species